rnacentral:rRNA from 1 species
ACUGAGAGGUUGAACGGCCACAUUGGGACUGAGAUACGGCCCAGACUCCUACGGGAGGCAGCAGUGGGGAAUAUUGGGCAAUGGGCGCAAGCCUGACCCAGCAACGCCGCGUGAAGGAAGAAGGCUUUCGGGUUGUAAACUUCUUUUAAGAGGGAAGAGUAGAAGACGGUACCUCUAGAAUAAGCCACGGCUAACUACGUGCCAGCAGCCGCGGUAAUACGUAGGUGGCAAGCGUUGUCCGGAUUUACUGGGUGUAAAGGGCGUGCAGCCGGGUCUGCAAGUCAGAUGUGAAAUCCAUGGGCUCAACCCAUGAACUGCAUUUGAAACUGUAGAUCUUGAGUGUCGGAGGGGCAAUCGGAAUUCCUAGUGUAGCGGUGAAAUGCGUAGAUAUUAGGAGGAACACCAGUGGCGAAGGCGGAUUGCUGGACGAUAACUGACGGUGAGGCGCGAAAGUGUGGGGAGCAAACAGGAUUAGAUACCCUGGUAGUCCACACUGUAAACGAUGAAUACUAGGUGUGCGGGGACUGACCCCCUGCGUGCCGCAGUAAACACAAUAAGUAUUCCACCUGGGGAGUACGAUCGCAAGGUUGAAACUCAAAGGAAUUGACGGGGGCCCGCACAAGCGGUGGAUUAUGUGGUUUAAUUCGAAGCAACGCGAAGAACCUUACCAGGGUUUGACAUCCUGCUAACGAAGUAGAGAUACAUUAGGUGCCCUUCGGGGAAAGCAGAGACAGGUGGUGCAUGGUUGUCGUCAGCUCGUGUCGUGAGAUGUUGGGUUAAGUCCCGCAACGAGCGCAACCC